GGGACAAUGGGUUGUCAGAAGACUUGCAAAGUGGAGAAACUUCUGAAACAGUCUCAGUGGGAAGUAGCAUGGAGCCAGAGACAAAGGUUAGCCACAGCAAAGAAGAACAGUCGGAUGAGAGGAACAGAUAAGCUGAGAAAUGAAGUUUUGCCCCUCCAGCUCCCAGGUGUGCAGCGUUUGGACAGCUUUCGUCUUCUAGAGGACAACGGCGGGGCUCUGAGACUCAACCCGGAGACCCUGAGCCACCAAAGGCUAAAGCAGAAGUUACUGGAGACUGAGAUCAGCACCAGAAGGAAGGAGUGUGAAGCACUUGAGGCGGAGGUGAAGAAAAAGAAUCAAACAUGUCAGACUUUGGACAUUUUCUCACAGUGGCCCAGAAAUGUCAUUCUGCCUGCUGGAGUGGCCUUGACUCAGGACAAAAGGCAAAGAGAAGGAAAACAAGAUGCGGUAGAGAGAACCAGCUGAAAAGCAAAGAAAGAAAUGCGCUUUUUCUUUUUUUACAUGCCUCAUCUUGACGCUUUGGCGAUGCGUUAUUUAAAUAAAGGCUGUGUAUGAAAAUAUAU
rnacentral:lncRNA from 1 species